CAUUACCGAGUGCGGGCCCCUCGGGGCCCAACCUCCCACCCGUGUUGCCCGAACCUAUGUUGCCUCGGCGGGCCCCGCGCCCGCCGACGGCCCCCCUGAACGCUGUCUGAAGUUGCAGUCUGAGACCUAUAACGAAAUUAGUUAAAACUUUCAACAACGGAUCUCUUGGUUCCGGCAUCGAUGAAGAACGCAGCGAAAUGCGAUAACUAAUGUGAAUUGCAGAAUUCAGUGAAUCAUCGAGUCUUUGAACGCACAUUGCGCCCUCUGGUAUUCCGGAGGGCAUGCCUGUCCGAGCGUCAUUGCUGCCCUCAAGCCCGGCUUGUGUGUUGGGCCCCGUCCCCCCCGCCGGGGGGACGGGCCCGAAAGGCAGCGGCGGCACCGCGUCCGGUCCUCGAGCGUAUGGGGCUUCGUCACCCGCUCUAGUAGGCCCGGCCGGCGCCAGCCGACCCCCAACCUUUAAUUAUCUCAGGUUGACCUCGGAUCAGGUAGGGAUACCCGCUGAACUUAAGCAUAUCAAUAAGCGGAGGA
rnacentral:rRNA from 1 species